GGAGACCCCGCCUGGUACCUUCUGUUCAGUGCCGGCUUCACUGCCUGGAGCCUUGACAGCGCCGCCAGCCGGCCGUGGAAACAAGUGGGGAGACCGAAACAUUGAAAACCAAUGCAAGACUCCUCGGAGAGCUCUAAGAGUUCAUUUGAAGUACAUCAGAAAACUGUGGAGAAAAAUGCUAUGAACACAAGGAGUGUGGAAAACCCUCUGUUUGUCCUUGUCCAUUUUGUACACAUGGAAGAACUCACAGAGUAGACACCUGUCAGGAAUAUAAAAUAUAAAC